UUUAGCAGAGAUGCUUUAGUGCCUUCGGGAACUCUGAGACAGGUGCUGCAUGGCUGUCGUCAGCUCGUGUUGUGAAAUGUUGGGUUAAGUCCCGCAACGAGCGCAACCCUUAUCCUUUGUUGCCAGCACGUAAUGGUGGGAACUCAAAGGAGACUGCCGGUGAUAAACCGGAGGAAGGUGGGGAUGACGUCAAGUCAUCAUGGCCCUUACGAGUAGGGCUACACACGUGCUACAAUGGCGCAUACAAAGAGAAGCGACCUCGCGAGAGCAAGCGGACCUCAUAAAGUGCGUCGUAGUCCGGAUUGGAGUCUGCAACUCGACUCCAUGAAGUCGGAAUCGCUAGUAAUCGUAAAUCAGAAUGUUACGGUGAAUACGUUCCCGGGCCUUGUACACACCGCCCGUCACACCAUGGGAGUGGGUUGCAAAAGAAGUAGAUAGCUUAACCUUCGGGAGGGCGUUUACCACUUUGUGAUUCAUGACUGGGGUGAAGUCGUAACAAGGUAGGCGUAGUGCU
rnacentral:rRNA from 1 species